AGCUUGCUCUUCUGGAUGAGUUGCGAACGGGUGAGUAACGCGUAGGUAACCUGCCUGGUAGCGGGGGAUAACUAUUGGAAACGAUAGCUAAUACCGCAUGACAACAGUUAUUGCAUGAUAACUGUUUAAAAGGGGCAAUUGCUCCACUACCAGAUGGACCUGCGUUGUAUUAGCUAGUUGGUGAGGUAACGGCUCACCAAGGCGACGAUACAUAGCCGACCUGAGAGGGUGAUCGGCCACACUGGGACUGAGACACGGCCCAGACUCCUACGGGAGGCAGCAGUAGGGAAUCUUCGGCAAUGGACGGAAGUCUGACCGAGCAACGCCGCGUGAGUGAAGAAGGUUUUCGGAUCGUAAAGCUCUGUUGUAAGAGAAGAACGAGUGUGAGAGUGGAAAGUUCACACUGUGACGGUAUCUUACCAGAAAGGGACGGCUAACUACGUGCCAGCAGCCGCGGUAAUACGUAGGUCCCGAGCGUUAUCCGGAUUUAUUGGGCGUAAAGCGAGCGCAGGCGGUUAGAUAAGUCUGAAGUUAAAGGCUGUGGCUUAACCAUAGUACGCUUUG
rnacentral:rRNA from 1 species